GAUUGACUCUAAGUUGAAUGGUCUAUUAGCUGAGGUCUCUUUUGAAGAGGAUUUCUCUGGUAAAAUUGGUCAAUCGAUUGUUCUUAGAAUUAAAGGACUUGGAUCAAAGAGGGCUGUUUUGAUUGGUCUUGGACAGUCACCUUCAACUACUGUGUUGUUCAAGGGUUUCAAUGAGGCUGUUGUUGUCGCUGCUAAGUCUGCUCAGGCUAGCAAUGUUGCCAUUGUUCUUGCUUCUUCUGAAGGACUUUCUUCAGAAUCGAAGCUUAGUACUACAUUUGCAAUUUCAUAUGGUAAUGAUUUUUGUGAUUUAUGA